UACGUAGGGACCGAGCGUUGUCCGGAAUCAUUGGGCGUAAAGCGCGUGUAGGCGGUCCGGUAAGUCCGCUGUGAAAGUCGGGGGCUCAACCCUCGAAUGCCGGUGGAUACUGUCGGGCUAGAGUGCGGAAGAGGCGAGUGGAAUUCCUGGUGUAGCGGUGAAAUGCGCAGAUAUCAGGAGGAACACCUAUUGCGAAGGCAGCUCGCUGGGACGGUACUGACGCUGAGGCGCGAAAGCGUGGGGAGCAAACAGG
rnacentral:rRNA from 1 species